UACGUAGGGUGCAAGCGUUAAUCGGAAUUACUGGGCGUAAAGCGUGCGCAGGCGGUUAUGUAAGAACGUUGUGAAAUCCCCGGGCUCAACCUGGGAACUGCAUCUGUGACUGCAUAGCUAGAGUACGGUAGAGGGGGAUGGAAUUCCGCGUGUAGCAGUGAAAUGCGUAGAUAUGCGGAGGAACACCGAUGGCGAAGGCAAUCCCCUGGACCUGUACUGACGCUCAUGCACGAAAGCGUGGGGAGCAAACAGG
rnacentral:rRNA from 1 species